rnacentral:rRNA from 1 species
GACGAACGCUGGCGGCGUGCUUAACACAUGCAAGUCGAACGGAAAGGCCCUGCUUUUGUGGGGUGCUCGAGUGGCGAACGGGUGAGUAACACGUGAGUAACCUGCCCUUGACUUUGGGAUAACUUCAGGAAACUGGGGCUAAUACCGGAUAGGAGCUCCUGCUGCAUGGUGGGGGUUGGAAAGUUUCGGCGGUUGGGGAUGGACUCGCGGCUUAUCAGCUUGUUGGUGGGGUAGUGGCUUACCAAGGCUUUGACGGGUAGCCGGCCUGAGAGGGUGACCGGCCACAUUGGGACUGAGAUACGGCCCAGACUCCUACGGGAGGCAGCAGUGGGGAAUAUUGCACAAUGGGCGGAAGCCUGAUGCAGCAACGCCGCGUGCGGGAUGACGGCCUUCGGGUUGUAAUCCGCUUUCGCCUGUGACGAAGCGUGAGUGACGGUAAUGUGUAAAGAAGCACCGGCUAACUACGUG